UAGGCAAACUUUGAGAGAAUUUUGGGGAGAGAGAUGGGCGUUUUGGGACUGAAAGAUGAGCAAGAAGGAUGAGAGGAAGAAGGAGAAGGAUUGGAGAGGAAGAAGAGAGAAAGAGAGAGAGAGCGCAGAGGAGAGUGAAUAUGAAGAAGAAAGUGGGAACAGAGCAACGGGGGAAGAUGAGUUAGUUUUGUUUUUUUUUUUUGAGAAGAUUCAGGUUAAAAAAA
rnacentral:lncRNA from 1 species